rnacentral:rRNA from 1 species
AGAGGUCCCAAGCGUUACUGAGAAUCACUGGGUUUAAAGGGUGCGUAGGUGGUCCGUUAAGUCAGUUGUGAAAUCCCCGGGCUCAACCCGGGAACUGCUUCUGAUACUGGCGGACUUGAGGCCAGUAGAGGUCACUGGAACUGACGGUGGAGCGGUGAAAUGCGUAGAUAUCGUCAGGAACGCCGGUGGUGAAGACGGGUGACUGGGCUGGUUCUGACACUGAGGCACGAAAGCGUGGGGAGCGAACGGGAUUAGAUACCCCGGUAGUCCACGCCCUAAACGAUGCAGACUAGAUUGCAGCGGGUUACACCCCGUUGCGGUCGGAGCGAAAUUGUUAAGUCUGCCACCUGGGAAGUACGGUCGCAAGGCUA